CGAGAGCUGGAAUAGGAAAAGCAACUCAACUUUAUGUGUAAAAUCGGGAUUCAGACCAUCGCCGUAAAUUUACGACUUGCUGGUCCAUGCUGAACACUGGAAAUGUUGAAAACGACAAUCACCGCAUAAUGGAGAGGAAGCGGAAGCAAAAUUAUGAACAUGAUCGAAACAUAUACGCAGUGGGAUUUGUUUAAAAGUGAAAGUUUACCGUUUCCACAAUAAAUGCACGAGCUUUGUUGAAUUGUCCGCGAAGAGACCUACGCUGAUGUGCUUUUUUCCCAUUGAAAUACUUCGCAUUUGUAACACCCACGGUUGGCGAAUAAAAUACAAUUCGAAAUCAA